UAUUCUGUUUCGAAAAAAGGCUGGAUACAGUAAUGGCCGAAAAAAUGCCGUUUCCAAUAUGUUCUAAUGUUUCACUCUAUACAACUAAAGAAUACCGACCCAUGAGAAAAAAAAUUUGUUUUACGUCACUGGACUAAAUGUUAUAGCGGAUUCAUGCGUUAAAAGUAACCGAAAACAUUAUUUUUGAAUAAAAAAUAUCUAAAACAACACUAACACUUGCUACUGCAAAAUUUCCCCCUUUCUAUCUUUGCCACGCUUGACUACCAUGCCGAGUGUUGGGACUGUUAGGCUUUAUAACAAGUUUAUAUUUGAAAUUACGAGUUGUUAUUAUAUUCUUUCAAAAUCUAAAACGAUGUCA